rnacentral:rRNA from 1 species
CAGUCGCCGCGGGAAUACGUAGGGUGCGAGCGUUAAUCGGAAUUACUGGGCGUAAAGCGUGCGCAGGCGGUUUUGUAAGACAGAGGUGAAAUCCCCGGGCUCAACCUGGGAACUGCCUUUGUGACUGCAAGGCUAGAGUACGGCAGAGGGGGAUGGAAUUCCGCGUGUAGCAGUGAAAUGCGUAGAUAUGCGGAGGAACACCGAUGGCGAAGGCAAUCCCCUGGGCCUGUACUGACGCUCAUGCACGAAAGCGUGGGGAGCAAACAGGAUUAGAACCCCAGUAGUCCCUGUCUCUUAUACA